rnacentral:rRNA from 1 species
AGUGAACGCUGGCGGUAGGCCUAACACAUGCAAGUCGAACGGCAGCACAGUAAGAGCUUGCUCUUACGGGUGGCGAGUGGCGGACGGGUGAGGAAUACAUCGGAAUCUACUUUUUCGUGGGGGAUAACGUAGGGAAACUUACGCUAAUACCGCAUACGACCUACGGGUGAAAGCAGGGGAUCUUCGGACCUUGCGCGAUUGAAUGAGCCGAUGUCGGAUUAGCUGGUUGGCGGGGUAAAGGCCCACCAAGGCGACGAUCCGUAGCUGGUCUGAGAGGAUGAUCAGCCACACUGGAACUGAGACACGGCCCAGACUCCUACGGGAGGCAGCAGUGGGGAAUAUUGGACAAUGGGCGCAAGCCUGAUCCAGCCAUACCGCGUGGGUGAAGAAGGCCUUCGGGUUGUAAAGCCCUUUUGUUGGGAAAGAAAAGCAGCAGGUUAAUACCCCGCUGUUCUGACGGUACCCAAAGAAUAAGCACCGGCUAACUUCGUG